GACGAACCGUGCGAACGUUGUUCGGAAUCACUGGGCUUAAAGGGCGCGUAGGCGGCCUCGCAAGUCGGGGGUGAAAUCUUUCGGCUUAACCGGAAAAGGGCCUUCGAUACUGCGGAGCUUGAGGGAGGUAGGGGCAGACGGAACUUCCGGUGGAGCGGUGAAAUGCGUUGAUAUCGGAAGGAACGCCGGUGGCGAAAGCGGUCUGCUGGCCCUCUUCUGACGCUGAGGCGCGAAAGCCAGGGGAGCAAACGGG
rnacentral:rRNA from 1 species